GACGAACGCUGGCGGCGUGCUUAACACAUGCAAGUCGAACGGUGAAGCGCCUUCCUUUUUGGUGGGUGUGGAUGAGUGGCGAACGGGUGAGUAACACGUGAGUAACCUGCCCCCUUCUUCUGGAUAACCGCAUGAAAGUGUGGCUAAUACGGGAUAUUCUGGGUCUGUCGCAUGAUGGGUCUGGGAAAGAUAUUGUUUCGGUGGGGGAUGGGCUCGCGGCCUAUCAGCUUGUUGGUGGGGUGAUGGCCUACCAAGGCGGUGACGGGUAGCCGGCCUGAGAGGGUGGACGGUCACACUGGGACUGGGACACGGCCCAGACUCCUACGGGAGGCAGCAGUGGGGAAUAUUGCACAAUGGGCGCAAGCCUGAUGCAGCGACGCCGCGUGAGGGAUGGAGGCCUGCGGGUUGUGAACCUCUUUCGCCAGUGAAGCAGGCCUGCCUCGUUUGUGGGUGGGUUGACGGUAGCUGGAGAAGAAGCGCCGGCUAACUACGUG
rnacentral:rRNA from 1 species